UGUUCUUCGUGACAUAGCGAACUGCUCAGUAACACGUGGACAAUCUGCCCUUGGGUUCGGCAUAACUCCGGGAAACUGGAGAUAAUACCGAAUAGACCAUUGAAGCUGGAAUGCUCUUUGGUCCAAAGUUCCGGCGCCCAAGGAUGAGUCUGCGGCCUAUCAGGUUGUAGUGGGUGUAACGUACCUACUAGCCUACGACGGGUACGGGUUGUGAGAGCAAGAGCCCGGAGAUGGAUUCUGAGACAUGAAUCCAGGCCCUACGGGGCGCAGCAGGCGCGAAAACUUUACAAUGCGGGAAACCGCGAUAAGGGGACACCGAGUGCCAGCAUACUAUGUUGGCUGUCCACAUGUGUAAAUAGCAUGUGUUAGCAAGGGCCGGGCAAGACCGGUGCCAGCCGCCGCGGUAACACCGGCGGCCCGAGUGGUAAUCACUAUUAUUGGGUCUAAAGGGUCCGUAGCCGGUUUAAUCAGUCUUCCGGGAAAUCUGACAGCUCAACUGUUAGGCUUCCGGGGGAUACUGUUAAACUUGGGACCGGGAGAGGUAAGAGGUACUACAGGGGUAGGAGUGAAAUCUUGUAAUCCCUGUGGGACC
rnacentral:rRNA from 1 species